rnacentral:rRNA from 1 species
GACGAACGCUGGCGGCGUGCUUAACACAUGCAAGUCGAACGGUGAAAGCGGAGCUUGCUCCGCUGGAUCAGUGGCGAACGGGUGAGGAACACGUGGGCAACCUGCCCCUGACUUCGGGAUAACUCCUCGAAAGAGGUGCUAAUACCGGAUACGAAUCCUGCAGGCAUCUGCGGGAUUGGAAAGUUUUUCGGUCAGGGAUGGGCCCGCGGCCUAUCAGCUUGUUGGUGAGGUAGUGGCUCACCACGGCGACGACGGGUAGCCGGCCUGAGAGGACGAUCAGCCUCACUGGAACUUAGACACGGUCCAGACUCCUACGGGAGGCAGCAGUGGGGAAUCUUGCACAAUGGGCGACAGCCUGAUGCAGCAAUGCCGCGUGAGGGAAGACGGCCUUCGGGUUGUAAACCUCUUUCAGUUGGGAAGAAGGGUGCACGGUGAACAGCCGACGCACUUGACGGUACCUUCAGAAGAAGCUCCGGCUAAC